rnacentral:rRNA from 1 species
UACGUAGGUGGCAAGCGUUGUCCGGAAUUACUGGGUGUAAAGGGCGCGUAGGCGGGAGAGCAAGUCAGAUGUGAAAUCCCAGGGCUUAACUCUGGAGCUGCAUCUGAAACUGUUUUUCUUGAGUACUGGAGAGGAAAGUGGAAUUCCUAGUGUAGCGGUGAAAUGCGUAGAGAUUAGGAGGAACACCAGUGGCGAAGGCGGCUUUCUGGACAGUAACUGACGCUGAGGCGCGAAAGCGUGGGGAGCAAACAGG